UUAAAUACCGCAUAACAUUACAGUUUCGCAUGAAACAGUAAUUAAAGGAGCAAUCCGCUACAAGAUGGGCCCGCGGCGCAUUAGCUAGUUGGUGAGGUAACGGCUCACCAAGGCGACGAUGCGUAGCCGACCUGAGGGUGAUCGGCCACAUUGGGACUGAGACACGGCCCAGACUCCUACGGGAGGCAGCAGUGGGGAAUAUUGCACAAUGGGGGAAAACCCGUCGAUGCAGCAACGCCGCGUGAGUGAUGAAGGUUUUUCGGUAUCGUAAAGCUCUGUCUUCGGGGACGAUAAUGACGGUACCCGAGGAGGAAGCCACGGCUAACUACGUG
rnacentral:rRNA from 1 species